AUGACAGAAAAAAUAAAUAAUACUAUGUACAUAUUUCCAUAUUUCAUUAAUCAAGGUCAUGAAGGAGAGAAAAGACAACUUUGCGGCCAUGCCCGUCCUCAAGGAUCAUUGCCCUUCCUUGCAAGUUUGUCUUGUCCAGGAUCUCCAUCUUUGAUGGACCACAUACACAGGCUCCAUAGAUCAUCAAGUCACAUGGCUCGUAAAGGAAUCUGUGAUCGUUCUUGGAGCCGUUUUGCUGCUUGGACUAGAACAUGGUUUCCUGAUCUAACCAUCUUCUUCAGCUGGUGCAUGGAGCUCUCAAACGCAAAGGCACUGCAUUUGUCUAAUGAUCCAUAUGUGGUGGCAUCAGCAGUGAGGUGAAGCAGUGAGUGCACAUUGUACACUAGGAAUUCUUUCCCAUAUGUGUGCCGGCCUUGUUCUACAAAAUAUGUGAGGAGCUCAUGGGCAUACACAUUGUGGGCUUGUGUUAAAUGUGGAGACACUAGUAUACACAAAGCCACACUAAAGGCCAUGAAAUGACUGUACAGGGUUUCUGGCAGGAUUCCCCGGAGAACAACUUUGCCAGUGUAGAGCAUAAACUGCCUGGAUUCAGUGGCCUUCCACCUCUCCAAUUCCUCCAGACUGCGUGGCUUCCUGGCAAAAAUAUGGGGUAUGUCACUUCUCAAGUUCCUUAGCCUCUGAUUGACUUCCCUCAGCUGAGCCGGCGAUAGCAGAUGCCCGACUUGCCCCAUGACCAUAGUAGGAGCAUUUUUCUCAUCACUCCCAGGCAGCACUGGUGCAUGUAGUCAGCAGGGAAAGACUUGAUCAUGACAAUUUGGAGAUUGCUGAAAGGGGACACAGCAUUUUCGUGAUGAUGUUCUGGCUGGUGUUGCUCUCUAAAUGAGACAACGUUCCUCAAAGUGAGGUCAUGGACUUGUUGGUAAGUGAUGCGCCCCUCCCAGUUGCCUUUUUGGGUGCAUUCAUCACAGCCACAGUAACCUGAGAAUUGUUUGAUGCACUUCAGCAUGGCUUUUGCUGGUGUAUCACAGGUAAUGCAUCUCAAUCUUACACUGAGUGUUGUUUCUCCCCAUGCUAAGCCAUUCAUUAGAAUCAUUUUCAGUUCAUCUGACAUUACUCUAAUGAAGUCCGGUGAUUUGGGCUUUUACCAGUGCUCUUAAAGAGUGGCAGUCCAUCUACAUUGAGGGAAAUCUCAAGCUCAGUGAUGUUUUUUGAUUCAAGCACAUGAUUAAUUGUUCAGUCACUCCUAAUGUAAUGCAUUCCACACCAGACACCAUUUGGCUUUCAACAGGAUCCGUUUUUAAUAAUGUUUUAGUAGUAGAUGGCAGGUGUUUAUGCCUGUGAUUCCUGAGAAUUUUGAGCAGUUUUUCUGCAGCUUUGUGCUUGAUAUUAUAUUCAGUGAUCCACCUCUUUAACUCUUCUUCUAAAAUUUCAGUGGGGAUAUAAAUGUUGGCAGUAUUCUGAAAAAACUCUCCAUCCAAUGAUUCUCCAGUCAUUGCAUUUUUUAGGCCUGGGUUCCAGAUUGGCAUAGUGUCCCUGGGAUUGUGUGCUUCACUGUUUAUCACAGUACUAGGACCAGCUGCGUUAAUGUGCACAUUUCUCAUUUUCCGUUGUACCCUCUGCCAAAGUCGUUUUUAUUCUCUUUUCCUAGCUUCUGCAGGCAUCCAGUUGUGUGACACAGCUAUGUGUUUUUUUUUUCUCUGCAAAAUGGGUACACGCAUGUAAUUUAAGAAAAAAACCUAAAGAUCAUAAUUUUUUAGGCAAAUAAAGCGAUCUUUCAUGCCACAUUAUUAGGUGAAAAACAUUUUAAUAUAACAUUGAACUUAUCACAUUGCUGUGAAAUCGAUCCCUUUUUCCUGACAUGUCAGCAAUAUGCUGUAAAUUUGAAAACCUUUUUUGCAAGACAAGCCUACCAUCUGAGAUGACAUCAUGGUAAUCUGUCUGUAGGGCAGGGUCUGGAAAGCACAGAAAAGAGACAAAGUGAGUUGAAAUCACAUAUACGUCGACGUGGGACAAUUUAAUUUACACUUGUUACUUCAAAGGAUACAGAUGAUAUUGGAUACAUGCCUGAAUUGUGAAUUGCUUACCCGCUUGUGCAUUAAAGUGUAAUUUCUAUAACAAUUAUUAUUAUUAUUAUUAUUAUUAUUUUAUUUUGUUUUUAUUUUGUUUGUGUGUUUUGUAUUUAUAAAUAUGGACCUUUAUUUUCACCAAAAAGGCUUAUUUCUGCUUUUUU
ensembl:lncRNA